AUUGAACGCUGGCGGCAGGCCUAACACAUGCAAGUCGAACGAGUGGCGGACGGGCGAGUAAUGUCUGGGAAACCGCCUGACGGAGGGGGAUAACUAAUGGAAACGGUAGCUAAUACCGCACACUAUCGGAUGUGCCCAGAUGGGAUUAGCUAGUAGGUGGGGUAACGGCUCACCUAGGCGACGAUCCCUAGCUGGUCUGAGAGGAUGACCAGCCACACUGGAACUGAGACACGGCCCAGACUCCUACGGGAGGCAGCAGUGGGGAAUAUUACACAAGGGGCGCAAGCCUGAUACAGCCAUGCCGCGUGUAUGAAGAAGGCCUUGGGGUUGUAAAGUACUUUCAGCGGGGAGGCGUUACCCGCAGAAGAAGCACCGGCUAACUCCGUGCCAGCAGCCGCGGUAAUAC
rnacentral:rRNA from 1 species